CGGAUUAGAUACCCUGGUAGUCCACGCCCUAAACGAUGUCAACUAGCUGUUGGGGCCUUCGGGCCUUGGUAGCGCAGCUAACGCGUGAAGUUGACCGCCUGGGGAGUACGGUCGCAAGAUUAAAACUCAAAGGAAUUGACGGGGACCCGCACAAGCGGUGGAUGAUGUGGAUUAAUUCGAUGCAACGCGAAAAACCUUACCUACCCUUGACAUGUCUGGAAUCCCAAAGAGAUUAGGGAGUGCUCGCAAGAGAACCGGAACACAGGUGCUGCAUGGCUGUCGUCAGCUCGUGUCGUGAGAUGUUGGGUUAAGUCCCGCAACGAGCGCAACCCUUGUCAUUAGUUGCUACGAAAGGGCACUCUAAUGAGACUGCCGGUGACAAACCGGAGGAAGGUGGGGAUGACGUCAAGUCCUCAUGGCCCUUAUGGGUAGGGCUUCACACGUCAUACAAUGGUCGGGACAGAGGGUCGCCAACCCGCGAGGGGGAGCCAAUCCCAGAAACCCGAUCGUAGUCCGGAUCGUAGUCUGCAACUCGACUACGUGAAGUCGGAAUCGCUAGUAAUCGCGGAUCAGAAUGUCGCGGUGAAUACGUUCCCGGGUCUUGUACACACCGCCCGU
rnacentral:rRNA from 1 species